rnacentral:rRNA from 1 species
GUAGGGAAUAUUGGGCAAUGGUCGGAAGACUGACCCAGCCAUGCCGCGUGCAGGAAGACGGCCCUCUGGGUUGUAAACUGCUUUUAUCUGGGAAGAAAAAGGCCAUGCGUGGCAAAUUGCCGGUACCAGAUAAAUAAGCACCGGCUAACUCCGUGCCAGCAGCCGCGGUAAUACGGAGGGUGCGAGCGUUGUCCGGAUUUAUUGGGUUUAAAGGGUGCGUAGGCGGCUGAUUAAGGCAGCGGUGAAAGACUUCGGCUUAACCGGAGCAGUGCCGUUGAUACUGGUUGGCUUGAGUGUCGGAGGGGUACAUGGAAUUGAUGGUGUAGCGGUGAAAUGCAUAGAUACCAUCAGGAACACCGAUAGCGAAGGCAUUGUACUGGCCGACAACUGACGCUGAUGCACGAAAGUGUGGGGAUCGAACAGGAUUAGAAACCCCAGUAGUCC